GAGGCAGAGAUUGAAGAAAAGGCUCCGAAAGUGAAAGCCAAAUCAAAGAUGUCUAAGGCUGAAAAGGAAGCUCGGAAGAAGCAAAAGAUGCAGGCAUUUCAGCAAGCAAAGGCAAAAUCGAAAGGAACAAAGAAUGCCAAGAGAUGGAAUUAAGUGAACCUUUGAGUAUCAUUGAAGAUCUUCCACAUUAAACUAAUUUUAUUUCUUCUAGGAAUAGGAGAUGAAGCGGCCUUUUGUGACCCAGCUAUUCAUGUAUAUAUAUAAAAUAUAUAUAACAGUUGAUAUGUUAAUAGAUUUACAGGUUUUGAUUUAGAACCAAGGCUGCAACACGAAUCAUGUACCUGAAGCUUCUGCGUUUUGUUAAUAAUGGCAAAAGGAUGAGAACAGGUUUGAUUUUA